AGUGGAUGGGGAGCAACCUAGUUGUGCGUGUGUAAAGGUAGUGCCAAGAAAAGCGGUGAUCAUGAUGAAAAUCAAUUCCCGGUACCCGAAACCGACACAGGUGGGCAAGUAGAGAAUACUAAGGGGCGCGAGGUAACUCUCUCCAAGGAACUCGGCAAAAUGACCCCGUAACUUAGGGAGAAGGGGUGCCACCGAGAGGUGGUCGCAGUGAAGAGGCCCAGGCGACUGUUUAGCAAAAACAUAGGUCUCUGCAAACUCGAAAGAGGAGGUAUAGGGGCUGACGCCUGCCCAGUGCCGGAAGGUUAAAGAAGUUGGUCAGUCUUAGGAUGAAGCUAGCGACUGAAGCCCCGGUGAACGGCGGCCGUAACUAUAACGGUCCUAAGGUAGCGAAAUUCCUUGUCGGGUAAGUUCCGACCCGCACGAAAGGCGUAACGAUCUGGGCGCUGUCUCGGAGAGAGGCUCGGCGAAAUAGGAUUGUCUGUGAAGAUACGGACUACCUGCAUUUGGACAGAAAGACCCUAUGAAGCUUUACUAUAGCUUGGAAUUGUGUUCGGGCUUCCUGUGCGCAGGAUAGGUGGGAGGCGUAGAAGGUAUUCUUGUGGGGAUACUGGAGCCAACGGUGAGAUACCACUCUCAGGAGGCUAGAAUUCUAACUUAAUUAAGGACAGUUUCAGGUGGGUAGUUUGACUGGGCGGUCGCCUCCAAAAAGGUAACGGAGGCGUACAAAGGUUCCCUCAGACUGGUUGGAAAUCAGUCGAAGAGUGCAAAGGCAGAAGGGAGCUUGACUGCGAGAAGUACAGUUCGAGCAGGGUGGAAACACGGUCUUAGUGAUCCGACGGUGCUGUGUGGAAGGGCCGUCGCUCAACGGAUAAAAGUUACUCUAGGAUAACAGGCUGAUCUCCCCCAAGAGUUCACAUCGACGGGGAGGUUUGGCACCUCGAUGUCGGCUCAUCGCAACCUGGGGCGGAAGUACGUCCCAAGGGUUGGGCUGUUCGCCCAUUAAAGCGGUACGUGAGCUGGGUUCAGAACGUCGUGAGACAGUUCGGUCCAUAUCCGAUGUAGGCGUGAGAAUAUUGAGAGGAGCCUUCCUUAGUACGAGAGGACCGGGAAGGACGCACCGCUGGUGUACCUGUUAUGAUGCCAAUUGUAAACGCAGGGUAGCCAAGUGCGGAGAGGAUAACCGCUGAAAGCAUCUAAGUGGGAAGCCCACCUCAAGAUGAGUAUUCUGGUGUAAGGUCACGGGAAGACGACCCGUAAAUAGGCACGAGGUGGAAGUGCAGAGAUGUAUGAAGCCGAAGUGUACUAAUAGACCGUCGGCUUGACC
rnacentral:rRNA from 1 species